rnacentral:rRNA from 1 species
CACGUAGGGCGCGAGCGUUGUCCGGAAUUUAUUGGGGCGUAAAGAGCUCGUAGGCGGCCUGUUGCGUCCGCUGUGAAAAGCCCCGGGGGCUUAACCCCCGGGGUCGCAGUGGAUACGGGGCAGGCUAGAGGUAGGUAGGGGGAGAAUGGAAUUCCCGGGUGUAGCGGUGAAAAUGCGCAGAUAUCGGGAGGAACACCGGUGGCGA